rnacentral:rRNA from 1 species
CACGUAGGGGGCGAGCGUUGUCCGGAUUUAUUGGGCGUAAAGAGCUCGUAGGCGGUUCGGCAAGUCGGGUGUGAAAUUUCGAGGCUCAACCUCGAAACGCCACUCGAUACUGCUGUGACUGGAGUCCGGUAGAGGAGUGCGGAAUUCCUGGUGUAGCGGUGAAAUGCGCAGAUAUCAGGAGGAACACCGGUGGCGAAGGCGGGUCUCUGGACCGUAACUGACGCUGAGGAGCGAAAGCGUGGGGAGCAAACAGG